AUCCGUGCUGAUCACAAUACUGUCCUGCCUAAGCAGCCAAGGCAAAAUUCACUACAUGGGUCAUUCCAUAGUGCAGAUGUAUUGACAAUGGAUGAUUUUGGUGCCAUGCCCUUUACAGAACUUGUGGUGCAAAGCAUCACUCUACAGCAGUCCCAACAGUCCCAACCAGUCGAAUUAGACCCAUUUGGUGCUGCCCCAUUUCCUUCUAAACAGUAG
rnacentral:lncRNA from 1 species